rnacentral:tRNA from 1 species
GGGCACGUAGCUCAACUGGAUAGAGCACCGCGAUUUUACGCGGAUGGACACGGGUUCAAUUCCCGUCGUGUUCU